GAAAGCGNGGGUAGCAAACAGGAUUAGAUACCCUGGUAGUCCACGCCCUAAACGAUGUCGAUUAGCUGUUGGGCAGCUUGACUGCUUAGUAGCGUAGCUAACGCGUGAAAUCGACCGCCUGGGGAGUACGGUCGCAAGAUUAAAACUCAAAGGAAUUGACGGGGACCCGCACAAGCGGUGGAUGAUGUGGAUUAAUUCGAUGCAACGCGAAGAACCUUACCUGGUCUUGACAUGUACGGAACCUUCCAGAGACGGAAGGGUGCCUUCGGGAGCCGUAACACAGGUGCUGCAUGGCUGUCGUCAGCUCGUGUCGUGAGAUGUUGGGUUAAGUCCCGCAACGAGCGCAACCCUUGUCAUUAGUUGCCAUCAUUCAGUUGGGCACUCUAAUGAGACUGCCGGUGACAAACCGGAGGAAGGUGGGGAUGACGUCAAGUCCUCAUGGCCCUUAUGACCAGGGCUUCACACGUCAUACAAUGGUCGGUACAAAGGGUAGCCAAGCCGCGAGGCGGAGCCAAUCUCAUAAAACCGAUCGUAGUCCGGAUUGCACUCUGCAACUCGAGUGCAUGAAGUCGGAAUCGCUAGUAAUCGCAGGUCAGCAUACUGCGGUGAAUACGUUCCCGGGUCUUGUACA
rnacentral:rRNA from 1 species